GAGCUGGUCUCUCUGAGGCAAGUGCUUACCUUCUGCGCUUUCUUACCUUUCCACCUGGUGCACAUUUGUAGACCGUGAAUAGACUCUCGCCUUAACAAGCGGAUUUGAAGCUUGCACGCAAGUGCUUGCUUCUACAUAUUCUCAGGUCUAUGUUUCAUACACACUUUAUAACACAUUGAAUGUUUGUUUACUGGUUGUAACAGACCUCUAAAUAAUAUACAACUUUUAGCAACGGAUCUCUUGGCUCUCGCAUCGAUGAAGAACGCAGCGAAAUGCGAUAAGUAAUGUGAAUUGCAGAAUUCAGUGAAUCAUCGAAUCUUUGAACGCACCUUGCGCUCUUUGGUAUUCCGAAGAGCAUGCCUGUUUGAGUGUCAUUAAAUUCUCAACCUCUACUCGGUUUUGCGACUGAUGUUAGUAGGCUUGGAUUUGGAGGCUGCCGGCAUCUGUAAAAAGAAGUCAGCUCCUCUUAAAAGUAUUAGCAGUAACUAGAUAACUGUUCCUUGAUGUGAUAAUUAUCUACGUCUUGGUCAAUGGAAAUCAUUAUAACGUUAUGCUUCUAACUGUCUGUUAACUCAGACUGUUUGCUUGUCAAACAUUAUGACUCUUGACCUCAAAUCAGGUAGGACUACCCGCUGAACUUAAGCAUAUCAAUAAGCGGAGGAAAAGAAACUAACAAGGAUUCCCCUAGUAACUGCGAGUGAAGCGGGAAAAGCUCAAAUUUAAAAUCUGUUAGCCUUUGGUUGACCGAGUUGUAAUUUAGAGAAGCGUUAUCCGCGUUGGACUGUGUAUAAGUUUCCUGGAAGGGGACAUCAUAGAGGGUGAGAAUCCCGUCUUUGACACAGACUACCAAGGCUUUGUGAUGCGCUCUCGAAGAGUCGAGUUGUUUGGGAAUGCAGCUCAAAAUGGGAGGUAAAUUCCUUCUAAAGCUAAAUAUUGGCGAGAGACCGAUAGCGAACAAGUACCGUGAGGGAAAGAUGAAAAGAACUUUGGAAAGAGAGUUAAACAGUACGUGAAAUUGCUAAAAGGGAAACGCUUGAAGUCAGUCGCGUUGGCUGGAAAUCAACCUUGCUCUUGCUUGGUGUAUUUUCUAGUCGACGGGUCAACAUCAGUUUUGAUUGCUGGAUAAAGUGUGAGGGAAUGUGGCAUCUUCGGAUGUGUUAUAGCCCUUGCUCGUAUACAGCGGUUGGGACUGAGGAACUCAGCACGCCGCAAGGCCGGGUC
rnacentral:sRNA from 1 species